GCCGUGAUCGUAUAGUGGUUAGUACUCUGCGUUGUGGCCGAAGCAACCCCGGUUCGAAUCCGGGUCACGGCA
rfam:Danio rerio chromosome 4, GRCz11 reference primary assembly.